GAUGAAGAACGUAGCGAAAUGCGAUAAGUAAUGUGAAUUGCAGAAUUCAGUGAAUCAUCGAAUCUUUGAACGCACAUUGCGCCCCUUGGUAUUCCGAGGGGCAUGCCUGUUCGAGCGUCAUUAUAACCCCUCAAGCUCAGCUUGGUGUUGGGGCCUGCUGCACUGGCAGCCCUUAAAAUCAGUGGCGGCGCCAUCUGGCUCUAAGCGUAGUAAUUCUUCUCGCUAUGGAGUCCUGGUGGAUGCUUGCCAUCAACCCCCAAUUUUUCUAUGGUUGACCUCGGAUCAGGUAGGGAUACCCGCUGAACUUAAGCAUAUCAAUAGAGGA
rnacentral:misc_RNA from 1 species